UAAUUAGAAUACACUGAGAAAGAUCUUUGAAUAACCAUCAGAUGUGUCAAUAGCUCUAGUAGGAUUCUUAUAAAUUCUUUUGUAUUCAUAAAUAAGAUUCCUAUGUAGGAAGUUAACUUUUUAUGAUUACUAGCUGAAAAAAAGGAGGAAAAGUUAAAAAAGAUAAUUUUGUUUCUGGAAGUUUGACAUUUACAAUGACAUCAAUGAACUGUUAAUGUUAAAUCGUUUAAAAGUACUUUAAAGCUGAUUAAUGGUUAAGUUUAAAAGAAGAUGGCAAAGAAAGUGAGGGUUAGGAAGGGGGGGGACUGAUAAUGAAAUGAGAAAGGUAAGGG
rnacentral:lncRNA from 1 species